rnacentral:misc_RNA from 1 species
AAGACUAUAGACCUGCGGAGUACCUGCGGAGGGAUCAUUACAUGGCGGAGGAGGUGGGCACCUAGUAAAAACAAAACCCUAGGUGUGUUGCCUACCACGCUUUCUACCCUUGUCUAUUUGCACCUUUUGUCGUUCCCUCGGUGGGUCUUGAACCUGCCGGCGGCAACUUUCAAAAACCUUUUGUAGUUAGUAUCUAAUUCUUCUGAUCAAAUAUUCAAUCGUUACAACUUUUAACAAUGG